rnacentral:rRNA from 1 species
UACGUAGGGUGCAAGCGUUAAUCGGAAUUACUGGGCGUAAAGCGUGCGCAGGCGGUUGUGCAAGACAGAUGUGAAAUCCCCGGGCUCAACCUGGGAAUUGCAUUCGAUACUGGAUAGCUAGAGUUCGGCAGAGGGAAGCGGAAUUUCGGGUGUAGCGGUGAAAUGCGUAGAUAUCCGAAGGAACAUCAGUGGCGAAAGCGGCUUCCUGGACCAGAACUGACGAUCAGGCACGAAAGCGUGGGGAGCAAACAGG